GAUGAACGCUCGCGGGAGGCCUAACACAUGCAAGCCGAGCGGUAGAGUUUCUUCGGAAACUUGAGAGCGGCGCACGGGUGCGUAACACGUGUGCAACCUACCUUUAUCUGGGGGAUAGCCUUUCGAAAGGAAGAUUAAUACCCCAUAAUAUAAUGAUUGGCAUCAAUUAUUAUUGGAAACUCCGGUGGAUAGAGAUGGGCACGCGCAAGAUUAGAUAGUUGGUGAGGUAACGGCUCACCAAGUCAAUGAUCUUUAGGGGUCCUGAGAGGGAGAUCCCCCACACUGGUACUGAGACACGGACCAGACUCCUACGGGAGGCAGCAGUGAGGAAUAUUGGACAAUGGGUGAGAGCCUGAUCCAGCCAUCCCGCGUGAAGGAUGACGGUCCUAUGGAUUGUAAACUUCUUUUGUACAGGGAUAAACCUACCCUCGUGAGGGUAGCUGAAGGUACUGUACGAAUAAGCACCGGCUAACUCCGUG
rnacentral:rRNA from 1 species